rnacentral:rRNA from 1 species
AUUGAACGCUGGCGGCAGGCCUAACACAUGCAAGUCGGACGGUAGCACAGAGGAGCUUGCUCCUCGGGUGACGAGUGGCGGACGGGUGAGUAAUGUCUGGGGAUCUGCCCGAUAGAGGGGGAUAACCAUUGGAAACGGUGGCUAAUACCGCAUAACGUCGCAAGACCAAAGAGGGGGACCUUCGGGCCUCUCACUAUCGGAUGAACCCAGAUGGGAUUAGCUAGUAGGCGGGGUAAUGGCCCACCUAGGCGACGAUCCCUAGCUGGUCUGAGAGGAUGACCAGCCACACUGGAACUGAGACACGGUCCAGACUCCUACGGGAGGGAGCAGUGGGGAAUAUUGCACAAUGGGCGCAAGCCUGAUGCAGCCAUGCCGCGUGUAUGAAGAAGGCCUUCGGGUUGUAAAGUACUUUCAGCGGGGAGGAAGGCGAUGUGGUUAAUAACCUUGUCGAUUGACGUUACCCGCAGAAGAAGCACCGGCUAACUCCGUGCCAGCCGCCGCCGUAA